UCCGGGUUGGUCCCGGCUGUCGGUCUAGAUACCCAACUAGACCCGGGGGUUGCGCUCGUUGCGGGACUUAACCCAACACCUCACGGCAUGAGCUGACGACAGCCAUGCAGCACCUGUGCAGUUCGCCUUGCGGCCACACCCUUUCAGGUGUUGAACACUGCAUGUCAAGCCCUGGUAAGGUUCUUCGCGUCGCAUCGAAUUGAACCACACGCUCCGCUGCUUGUGCGGGCCCCCGUCAAUUCCUUUGAGUUUUAGCCUUGCGGCCGUACUCCCCAGGCGGGGCACUCAUUGCGUUAGCUUCGGCACGGAAGCCAUGACAGCCCCCACACCUAGUUCGCACCGUUUACGGCUAGGACUAC
rnacentral:misc_RNA from 1 species